rnacentral:rRNA from 1 species
GGGGGGGGGGGGGGGGGGGGGGGGGGCGGGGGGGUGGGGGGGAGGGAGGGGGGGGUGGGUGGUGUGCUGUUGGCGGGGGACGGGUGAGGAACACGGGGAUGCCGUACCUAUACGGCUGGGAUAACUUCGGUGACCCGGGUCUAGUACCGGAUAAUAUUUUGACCCGCCUGUGUCAAACGUGCACGACUGUCUUUCUGUCACUUAUAGAUGUAUCAGCGCUGCAUUAGCUAGUUGUUAAGGUAACGGCUUACCAAGGCAACGUUGCAUAGCCGACCUGUGAGGGUGAUCGGCCAAACUGGAACUGAGACACGGUCCCGACUCCUACGGGAGGCAGCAGUAGGGAAUCUUCAGCAAUGGGCGAAAGCCUGACGGAGCAACGCCGCGUGAGUGAUGAAGGUCUGCGGAUCGUAAAACUCUGUUAUUAGGGAAGAACAUAUGUGUAAGUAACUGUGCACAUCUUGACGGUACCUAAUCAGAAAGCCACGGCUAACUACGUG